AUGGACUGCAGCUGGAGAACCCUCCUCCUGGUGGCCAUGGCGACAGGUGUCCACUCCCAGGUGCAGCUGGUGCAGUCUGGGGCUGAGGUGAGGAAGCCUGGGGCCUCCGUGAAAGUCUCCUGCAAGACUUCUGGAUACACCUUCGCCAGCUACAAUUUGCACUGGGUGCGACAGGCCCCAGGACAGGGGCUUGAGUGGGUGGGGUUGGUUUACCCUGGCAAUGGAGAAACAAGCUAUGAGCAGAAGUUCCAAGGCAGAGUUUCCAUGACCGGAGACAAGUCCACGAGCACAGCCUACAUGGAGCUCAGCAGCCUGAGAGCCGAGGACACAGCUGUGUAUUACUGUACGACACACACAACCCCAGAGGAGGAGGUAACACUGCUGCUGGCAGAUGACAUAUGGGCAGUGAUGGGGACUCUCCUGGCAACAUGA